UACGAAGGGGGCUAGCGUUGUUCGGAAUUACUGGGCGUAAAGCGAGCGUAGGUCGCUUUGUGUGUCAGUGGUGAAAGCCCAAGGCUCAACCUUGGAACUGCCAUUGAAACUGCAAAGCUGGAAUCUCAGAGGGGAUAGCGGAAUUCCAAAUGUAGAGGUGAAAUUCGUAGAUAUUUGGAGGAACACCGGUGGCGAAGGCGGCUAUCUGGAUGAGUAUUGACACUGAGGCUCGAAAGCGUGGGGAUCAAACAGG
rnacentral:rRNA from 1 species